GGAAUCUUCCACAAUGGACGCAAGUCUGAUGGAGCAACGCCGCGUGAGUGAAGAAGAUCUUCGGAUCGUAAAACUCUGUUGUUAGAGAAGAACACGAGUGAGAGUAACUGUCCAUUCGAUGACGGUAUCUAACCAGCAAGUCACGGCUAACUACGUGCCAG
rnacentral:rRNA from 1 species